rnacentral:tRNA from 1 species
ACCUAUUUAACUCAGCUGGUUAGAGUUUCCGUUUCAUACGCGGAAAGUCACUGGUUCAAAUCCAGUAGUAGGUA